rnacentral:misc_RNA from 1 species
AAGGAUCAUUACUAGAGCAAAGGAUAGACAGCCCUGCUUCGGUAGGGUUGUCGUCGGGCCUCUCGAAGAAGCUCGGUCCUGAACUCCACCCUUGAAUAAAUUACCUUUGUUGCUUUGGCGGGCCGCCUCGCGCCAGCGGCUUCGGCUGUUGAGUGCCCGCCAGAGGACCACAACUCUUGUUUUUAGUGAUGUCUGAGUACUAUAUAAUAGUUAAAACUUUCAACAACGGAUCUCUUGGUUCUG